CCAGGAGGUGGGUGAUGUGGCCUGACCUCAUGACCCCUUUCCCAUUGUGAGAACAAGAAAGGGAAAACAAAAGCAGUGUUUGCACGAGGGAUACUGGGACCCAAGUGGCUACGGGAUCGUGGGACCAAGUGGCCAUGGGAUUCCCCACUUGGGACGGCCCUGGGGGAUGAUCUAGAGAGGAUACACUUCUUCCAUGUAAGAGGCAGAUCUGAGGUCCGGAGCGGGGAAAGUCAUUUACCUCCGAUCACAUAGACUUGACCUUGAGCCCUACAGGGGCCUCAGGGGCUUGGACUAGAAAAAGGGAGAAAGCCAUGGCUGGUUAAGGAUUGAGUGGCUGUGUGAGUAGAAAGGGUGGAGGUGGCCAGGGAGGCAAUGGUGAAGGGCCUAGAUGUGGUCCCACGUCCCCCACCCACCCCUCUGGUGUUUUGGGGGUGGGGUUGUUAAAAGGUCUGGGAGAAAAAGACCAGCACUUAACCCCUUAGUGGCUGGAGCUGUGCGUCCGUGUCCAGCCCUCUGCAGCAUCCGGAAGGAGUCGGAGAGAUGCUUGUGGCAGGGAACAGAGGACAAACGGGACAUUGAAGUGACAGCCCAGCAGAGCAAAUGAGGCCAAAGUAGCGGAGGAAGGUCCAUGUGGGGCUUCACCUGAGGGGACACUGGGUAGCCACCUGCCCUCCAGAGCAACCCGAGGGCUGAGGCUUGAGCAGUGCGGCACAGUGACUAGUUACCCAACCCAGCUUCCCUCUAGGUCAGGCUGGCCUCAUCCCCGAGACCCUCACCAGACCCUACGCUGGUCCUAUUUGUGCCUGAGACAAUCUUUCUGAAAGCUCUGCUCUUGCGUUUGAGCCGCUCAUUCUGGAUCCUGAGCUCCUGACUCCCUGACUCAUUUGGGACAUGCCUCGGCCACUCCUGGAUUUGGUGCUUGUUCUCAGCUAUGCGGAUUUCUCCCACCCUGGUCCCCGUCACUGUUUAAGCGCCCUCUACUGACAAGGCCUAGCAUUCCACCCGCUGGCAGAGGAGAACUGCUCCCAGGGUCCCGCACCGCCAUCACGAAGCCGGCCAAUGAGGGUGAGUCCGGGGCUGAGAGGCAACACAUUGACUACUGGCACAGUGAACCAAAGAAUGGGCUCUCAUCAGACACCAAAUCUGCCAGGCCCUUGAUCUUGGACUUCCCAGCCUCUGGAACUAUGAGAGAGAAACGCCUGUUGUUUGUUUUUCCAUCUGCAAAACUAAGACGACCAAUGAAACGGAAGGGCCAUUUGAAGAGCAGAGGACGGGGUGCAGAUGAGGUCCCUUCCUCCUUCCGUGAUCGUCCGUGAGAUUCAAGAAGGCAGCCACCUGCCACGUAGAGGACACUCCGUUUCAGCAGCCACACGUGGGAUUGCUUUGGUCCCGACGUGCAAACACGUUUCAGUCCAGCUUCUUGGGAGCUCACACGGAUACUUGGGUCUGGCAGAGUUAUUUUUAUGGGUUCAAGAGAGAGGAAAAUAAAGGGCAACAUCCUCGUGUUGACACGAAAUGGCCUCCCUGCGAUUCUGGGCUGGAGGUGGGGGGCAGGGGCGGGGACUGAGGAAGCAGCCGAGCUAAAGAGUCCACAUGGAACCACUUUUCCAUGGUCUAAUCUGGGAACCGGAACGCCUGAGCUUGGAAUAGAGUUACGGCUCUGGUUAGAGAAUGGAUUCACUGGGGCCAGCGUGGCCUCUGGCAGGGGCUUGGACACAUCUGUCCUUCCCCUGUCCUGACCUCCCUCUGGCAGCCGCAUCUCCAGGGCUGGCAGAACCCCCAGAACGGAUCUUUCUCCUGGCCCCCAGCAAGGCUCUUCACUUCCAAACAUGUGGGACUGGUUUGGCCACGUGAGCCCGAGGCCCCUCUGCAAGGGGGGGCCUCGCUGGGACGGAGCUUUUUCCACCCUGCACACUUGUCACAGCACCUGGUCCUUCUGCGGGACCCCCACACUCAAGGCUCUUUCCAACACGAAGAGGGCGCAGGUCAGGGUCCCUACGCUGUGCCUGCUCUUCAGGUUGUUGGGGGGCUGGUGCCUUUCGUACGCCCUCCGGCCAGCAGCCCUGUAGGGCCUCCAGAGCCAGAAAGACCAGGUGUGAAUCACGGCUUGGCCAUGUCAUCUUGGACAGGUACCCCAAUCUCUUUGAACCUGGAGUUUCUUCAUCUGUAGAAUGGGGAUAAUUACGGUCAUUUCGUCUGUCGUUCAGUGAUCACACACUCGCGGAGGGGCAUCACUCUGCACUCCAGGCACGGGACACACAAAGACGAACCGCAGUCGGUCUCUGCCUGAAGCAGGUGGUAUUCUCCAGAUAAAAAAAAGAAUGUGAAAGGAAAUGCCAGGCCUUAGGCUGGGCAGCCACAACACGAUGGAGUGAAAAUAACUGGGGCUUUAAUGCAGACGUACGUAUGCUGAUUUCCAGCUCUGAUGUUAAGUUGCUCUGUGACGUUGGGCAAGAGGUGCUUUCUCGUCCUCAGCUAUCCCAUCUGUACAGUGAGGAGGUUUAACUAGAUGCCCUUUUUGUCUCUGAUGCUCUAUGAUGGCGUGAAAUCACCAGCCUAGAGGGCAAAAGAAGAAAUAAAUUAGGUGAAUCGUCA